rnacentral:rRNA from 1 species
AAUGAACGCUGGCGGCAGGCCUAACACAUGCAAGUCGAACGGGUCCUUCGGGACUAGUGGCGGACGGGUGAGUAACGCGUGGGAACGUGCCCCUUGGUACGGAAUAGCCCCGGGAAACUGGGAGUAAUACCGUAUGUGGUCGAGAGACGAAAGAUUUAUCGCCAAGGGAUCGGCCCGCGUUGGAUUAGGUAGUUGGUGGGGUAAUGGCCUACCAAGCCGACGAUCCAUAGCUGGUUUGAGAGGAUGAUCAGCCACACUGGGACUGAGACACGGCCCAGACUCCUACGGGAGGCAGCAGUUGGGAAUCUUAGACAAUGGGGGAAACCCUGAUCUAGCCAUGCCGCGUGAUCGAUGAAGGCCUUAGGGUUGUAAAGAUCUUUCAGGUGGGAAGAUAAUGACUGUACCACCAGAAGAAGCCCCGGCUAACUCCGUGCCAGCAGCCGCAGUAA